UUCAAGUGGUCAAUGCUGUUUUAGUUUCGAUUUGAGGGUGUUUCUCUACUUUCUGUGAGUUACACUAAGUAGAGCGGUUAUGUUUGCAAUACAGAAACGUUAGGUGGAGACACGUCAAUUUGAUGCAGGAUGUCCUUUAUAUAAAGCGAAACAACUUUCCACACACACAGGAAACCAAAUCUGCUGCUAACAGACUCGCGACGGAUGCUAGUGCUAGCAUAAGUGUUGCGGAUGAUGUUACACAGCUGGAACUGGAGCAGAUAUCUUGAGCUGUCAACAUUUCUCUGAUCUUUCCAGUUGUCAUUGGAAACUUCAGCAGAUGCAGAAGAUCACGACUGCAGUGACAAUCCACAGAGAUCCAACAACAGCAGAAAUCAACACUAACAGAGAAACAGAGACUGGAGGAACUGAAGAAGAGUAAAAGAGAGACAGACUUGAAUGUCUUGUAGACGUGCUGGUCCACGCUUCCUACCAGUGGGUGGCGGUAAUGCUCCAGCUCGUUUUUCAACCGCCACUAAACCCAAGAAGAAGAAGAAGAAGAAGAAGAAGAAGAAGAAGAGGUGAUGUUACACAGCUGGAACUGGAGCAGAUAUCUUGAGCUGUCAACAUUUGUCUGAUCUUUACAAUGAUCACUGGAAACUUCAGAUGCAGAAAAUCCUGACUGUCGCUACAAUCAACAGAGAUCCAGCAGCAGAAACAGAAAUCAACACUAUCAAAGAUACAAAGUCUGGAGCAUGUGAAGGAGAGUGAAAGAGAGACAUGAGAGAGUCACAUGACUCACAUUCACCACUGAACACAACAAUGAACAAUUCUGCUGUGAUGAAGAUGAAGAUGAUGAUGAACAGUUUGAAGAGUUACUGCUGAUGACAGGAACAGGAAGAUGAACUGAAAACGUGAAAGAAUGAGUAUGAAACACAAUUCUCUAGAUCUCAUAAUUGUAGUGAAUCUGUUAAUUUUGUGUUGAGUGAGUGUUCAGUGUGUUAACGGUCACUGUAUGUUUCUUUCAUCUCAACAAAUGAUCUCUACUCACCAAAGACAGAAACAUUGAAUGUUUUUGAUAACAGUUUAGCUCCACUCAUCUCUACUUCAUAUUCUCCAGUGUGUUGAGUUGUGAUGUUUGUGAUGGUCAGAGAUCCAGUUUUACUGUCCAGCUUCAGUCUGUCUCUGAAUCUCCCAUCAGGAACAUCAGAUGAGAUGUUUUGCUUAUUUUUGGUCAUUGUAGCAAUUUUAGACUUUCCCGCUGCAUAUUUCCACAGUAUGUAAUAACCUUCAUGUAUUUGAGUAAGAUCAGUGUUCAGAGUGACUGUAUCUCCCUCCGUCACUGACACUGAUUCACCAAACACACCUGAUGAACAGAUGUGACAUGGAUUAAAUCCUCUGAUGGUUUACAGAUCCUGAAAUCAGCUUCACUUACACAAAGUUGAGUGAAGUUGAGAGCAGCAGCAGAAACCCGCUACUGUUAUCAGUACAGUGAGUGUUAGAAUCAGACAGACUGAGAAAACACUGAAGCAGCAUUUACAGAUUGCUGGAAAUAUGUUUAAAAUAGCAAUUAAUAGAGUAUAUGGCAACAUAAUUUAUGAAACAGAAGACCCCCUGACCCCCUUCAUAGUAGUCUGAUGCUACAGUUCUACCACAAGAUUGAUCUGUUUCAAAAAUGUAACUUUAACUACACAGCAAUACACUGUAUAUACACAUCAAAUACCUUGUUGAGGACAAUCAGCGAUUAAAGUUUCAUAAUUUAUUGACGAUAAAUACAUGAUAAUUAUUGCAGAUUGAAAGUAAAGUUUUAAUUGUG